AUUGAACGCUGGCGGCAGGCCUAACACAUGCAAGUCGAGCGGAUGAAGGGAGCUUGCUCCUGGAUUCAGCGGCGGACGGGUGAGUAAUGCCUAGGAAUCUGCCUGGUAGUGGGGGAUAACGUCCGGAAACGGGCGCUAAUACCGCAUCCGUCCUGAGGGAGAAAGUGGGGGAUCUUCGGAUCUCACGCUAUCAGAUGAGCCUAGGUCGGAUUAGCUAGUUGGUGGGGUAAAGGCCUACCAAGGCGACGAUCCGUAACUGGUCUGAGAGGAUGAUCAGUCACACUGGAACUGAGACACGGUCCAGACUCCUACGGGAGGCAGCGGUGGGGAAUAUUGGACAAUGGGCGAAAGCCUGAUCCAGCCAUGCCGCGUGUGUGAAGAAGGUCUUCGGAUUGUAAAGCACUUUAAGUUGGGAGGAAGGGAAGUAAGUUAAUACCUUGCUGUAUUGACGUUACCAACAGAAUAAGCACCGGCUAACUUCGUG
rnacentral:rRNA from 1 species